rnacentral:rRNA from 1 species
AUUGUACGCUGGCGGCAGGCUUAACACAUGCAAGUCGAGCGGGGGAAGGUAGCUUGCUACCGGACCUAGCGGCGGACGGGUGAGUAAUGCUUAGGAAUCUGCCUAUUAGUGGGGGACAACAUCUCGAAAGGGAUGCUAAUACCGCAUACGUCCUACGGGAGAAAGCAGGGGAUCUUCGGACCUUGCGCUAAUAGAUGAGCCUAAGUCGGAUUAGCUAGGUGGUGGGGUAAAGGCCUACCAAGGCGACGAUCUGUAGCGGGUCUGAGAGGAUGAUCCGCCACACUGGGACUGAGACACGGCCCAGACUCCUACGGGAGGCAGCAGUGGGGAAUAUUGGACAAUGGGGGGAACCCUGAUCCAGCCAUGCCGCGUGUGUGAAGAAGGCCUUAUGGUUGUAAAGCACUUUAAGCGAGGAGGAGGCUACUUUAGUUAAUACCUGGAGAUAGUGGACGUUACUCGCAGAAUAAGCACCGGCUAACCCUGUGCCAGCAGCCGCAGUAA